AGUGUUGGAAAAAAGCAGUACUGGUCGUCCUACAGUAACUCCCAUGACAUCUGAUGAUGAUGAUGCUGCGGAAGCAGGUCCAUCAAAAGAAGUCUGGAGCAGUAGAAGUCGUACUUCUGUAACACACCACCAAAAAAAACCAUGUGGCAGCAAAGAAAGCAAGGUCUGAUGUCCAAGGCCAACCACAGCAGGAUACCCCGGCACGAAGAUUAUCGACAGUAUGUUCGGUCCCCCCACUCCAAAUUUUGGACACACCUCCAAGACGUGAACCACACUCCCCUCAUCUUGAUUCUUCUAGUCCUGGUAACAGCAUCCCUCUGCAACAACAGCAACACAGUGACAUGGAUGAGAC